rnacentral:rRNA from 1 species
CAGUCGCCGCGGUAAUGCGUAGGUGGCAAGCGUUGUCCGGAUUUAUUGGGCGUAAAGCGAGCGCAGGCGGUUCCUUAAGUCUGAUGUGAAAGCCCCCGGCUCAACCGGGGAGGGUCAUUGGAAGCUGGGGAACUUGAGUGCAGAAGAGGAGAGUGGAAUUCUAUGUGUAGCGGUGAAAUGCGUAGAUAUAUGGAGGAACACCAGUGGCGAAGGCGACUCUCUGGUCUGUAGCUGACGCUGAGGCUCGAAAGCGUGGGUAGCAAACAGGAUUAGAUACCCCGGUAGUCCCUGUCUCUUAUAC